rnacentral:lncRNA from 7 species
AGCAGCCCUGGGCAACGGCCCUGCAAAGACACCCCCUGGCCCCACAUGUCCACCACUCCAUCACGUGCUCUCCAUCCACUCACUUUGUCUCCUUUGCCAGCAGUUUGGGACUUCCGCACGUCUUCACAGCACUUGAGGAUGCACCCCAGGUGCAGGAAGAGAAGUGACUGUGAGAGAAGAAUCCCUCCAUGAGGACAGGGACAAGAGGCAGCAGACCUGAAAAAUGCUCCUGCCGAUCAGCAGCCAGAGGGGCUCCUUUGGCUAAGGACAUCAACCCCUGUAAUUGCAGGAGGGAGCCCACCAGGACACACAGUCAGUGAGCAGCAGAUCUCUGUCAUGCCCUUCCAGGGUGCAGGAGCUCUCCCUCUUAAGUGACGUCACGGGUGGUUAUCCCCUCUUUCCUGUGUAAGAGCAGCAGCUGCAGCUCCUCUGCUCACUACUCAGCCAUCCUUGCAUCCUUGCGUGGACAGCUCUGUUGCCAUCUUCUACGGAGAGGACAGAGUGGCUGUCCUGGUCCCUGAGGGCAGGGACCCGGGCCUGGCAUUCCCCGAUGCUUUCAGCAUGGACUGAGAGCAGUGCCAGUCCUUCAAGG